ensembl:lncRNA
CUGAGUUGAGGCUCUAAACACAAACACCAUUAGCAGCAGUAGGCUCUGUGCACUUAACUCCCUGCCCUGCUCUAAACGCAGUAGCCCCAGCAGCAAACAUCCCUCCCUCCAUCCUCUCAGUGCUUAGCCAGAGGAGCUGCACCCCCUGCCAUCACCCCCGUGGCACUCCGUGUAAAUCUCAUCCACUCCCUUUUCCAUUUGGCUGGUUGGGGAGUUUAUUCAUCAUUCAAACCUUUCCUUUCACACGUUGUUGCAAAGGUAGGGAUUUAUUUGGGCAUGAAUUUACUGCCCUUGCCAGUGACAAGGAGGUGUUGCUGUGAUGCUGACACAGCCAUGGAGCUGCAGAAACACCAUUCUGGGCACUGCAGCGAGGGAAGGUGUUCAGGGCAGGUGUAAAAGUGGGCCAGGCAUGACAUAAAAUAGAGGAGGACAAGUGUGCUCUGCUUCCAGAGGCUGGGGGAAGAUGCUGAGCAGGAGCUGUAGCAGGACAUCACGGGGGGUGGAGGGAGCCAGAGAAACAUCUAGCGUUGGUGCCCUCUGUGCAGUGAGCUCACAGCCCGUUGGGAUUGGCCAGGAACUGGGUCAGGAUGCAGCAGGAUGAAGGAAACAGAACCUGAAGCCCUUGAGCAAGGCCCCUUCCCCCCCUGCUGAGCUUGUGCUGAUGCUCUCAGGCUCUUCCCUGCUCCAGCACCCUCCCACCAGCCCCUCGGAGAGCUGGAUGCUCCUGCAAGCCCAGCCUGGUGAGUGAGGGCACACAGGCACAGUGGAUCCAGCCUCAAAGCACUGAAUGCUGCAGCCAGACACGAAGCUCAGCUGUGAGGAUGAAGAAGGGAGCUUGGAACACCCAGGCUACUGAAGAGAUGCAUCAGCGCCUGCUCCCAGCUGUAGGAGCAGGAAGGAGUGCUGGGAGCUCCCUCCCCACAAAGUGCAGAGAGGUCUCAUCCUUGCUGGAUCCUUCCCCUGCUGCUGUGUUGGCUCCAUGUGUAAAGGGCUUGGCAAAGGAGGAUAUCAGGGAGAGCUCGUGGAAACCCAGCCUGUUCAGCACUGCAGGGUUUGCAGGCUCCAGGAGAGAGAGAACCUCGCUGGUGCUGACACGGCAACAAAACCGGUGUGUCUGCAAGAGAGGAGUCAGCAGCAGCUGCGCCCCUGCGAAAAUGCUCGCCGUGAUGGAUGCUCUGCCCAGAGUCUGCUAAUCUCUUUUCCUCUAACUCCGAGGCCUCCUUAAUUGUGCUGCCUGUGAUUAAACAACUCAGUGAAGGCAGUGCUGGGAGAUGUUUACUCCACAUGGGGAUGUCGCUGGCCAGGCUCGGAGCACGCGGAGCGUGUUUCACAAAGGGGAUGGGAACAGCGGUGUCUGGGCUGCUCUGGUGACCCUAGAAAGGAGCUGGGGAGACCCCCGGGAGGGUUUGGUGGAGAUCCACCUGGAUGAUCCCAAGAUAGACAAACUCCCACGGGGCUUUCCUGGUGGUGCUUUCUCCUGCAGCCCUCCGGGAAGCACAUGGAUAUGGGGAGGAGUGCUGUGCUUGAGGCGAGCUGUUCAAUCUGACCAUGUCCCCGUGGGCUGAGGGCAGCUUGGCAUUGUUCUCCAGCCCCAAGAGCUGCCCUCAGACGCUUUCUGAAGGAUGCUGAAGCCUUGGUCUGCAGGAGAAACGCAAAAACAGCCCCAGGAGGACUUUGAGAUCAUCUGAGGCACUUUGUCAAAGGACAGAUUAGAAGGGAGUUUAGAAUGAUGGCAGGGAACGGAUCUUAAAUCCCAUCUGGUUCCACCCCUUGCCAUGGGCAGGGACACCUUCUACCAGAUCAGGUUGCUCCAAGUCCUGUCCAGCCAAGGGCAGGAUCCUAGCCCCAGGCUGACACAGUCUGUCCCAUUCCUGGCCACCCUGGAGCUCAUUCCCAGGUUCCUGGAGGUGGAGGAGC